GUGCUAGCUUUGCCAGCACAUAUACUAAAAUUGGAACAAUAGAAGAUUAGCAUGGCCCCUGUGCAAGGAUGACACACAGUAGUAUGGAGAUUACAGGGUGCAC